rnacentral:lncRNA from 1 species
AAUGCAUUUUCUUUUCCACAGACCCAAGCAUGACAAAGCCCUUUAUUGGCUUUGCAGUAGAAGAGAACUGCUACAGUGCACCAAUUAAGUUUGCUGACAGGUCAUUCUAUCACCUGGUUGGAGGUGAGCACUGACAAGAGAGGCAGCUGCCUGCAGUGCAGUGAAGAAGUAUGGCCAAGUCCAGAGUAGCAGCGUGUCAAGGUUGCUGCAUCCUGCAGAGAGAGUGAGAAGUUGAUCUAUUUCU